AUAUGGAGAACCACCGGUAGAUCCUCUGACCACAUAUAGCAUUACCAUACACAGGAUGCGUACCGCAUAUACUCCGUCCCAAUACCAACUGGAGGGCAUAUAGCGGGGGAGGUUCUGAGUUCUGAUGUUUGAAGCUUGGUCUGCAACUCUCAUCAUUCAUGGCAAAUACACUGAGGUCUUAUUUGACAUGCAUAAGGAACACAUUGGAAGCUGCAAUGUGUCUCCAGAACUUUCCUUGUCAAGAAGUUGAGAGACACAACAAGCCAGAAGUUGAAUUGCAGACCAGUGCAGAACUUCUGCUGAAUCCCGUUUUGAUCUGUCGAAAUGAGGCCGAGAAAUGCUUAAUAGAAACAUCCGUAAAUUCCCUUCGCAUCAGUAUCAAGGUAAAGCAGGCAGAUGAGCUUGAGAACAUACUAACUAAAAAGUUUCUUAGAUUUUUGUCCAUGAGGGCUGAGGCUUUUCAAGUGCUGAGGAGGAAGCCAGUCCAGGGAUAUGAUAUUAGCUUUCUUAUCACUAAUUAUCACUGUGAAGAGAUGCACAAGCAUAAGCUUAUAGAUUUCAUUGUGCAGUUUAUGGAGCAGUUUGUUGGGAACAAUUUGGUGGGGAAGCUCCCAAGAUUCAGAUAUUUGGUGUUCGUAUCCUAAACCAAACUUGCAAUGCUAAUGGCUGUGAAAGGAAUUGGGGCAUUUCCCAUGCAUCCACAUGGAUGAGUGAAAUAGGUUGGAGCACAAGAGGUUCAAUGACUUGGUCUUUGUGAUAGAACUUGAGGUUGUGGCAGAGGACCAUGCAAAGGCUCAUAUUCUUGGACCCAAUUGACUGACGGAUGGCUUGUUGAGAAAGAGUGGUGGGUUCUUGAAUGCAUUGAAGAGCAACUGGAUAGUUGGCUGGAGGUUGAACCACCACAAAGGACAUAGAUAAGGAGAUAAGUGAGCUGAAGCUAUCAGUGAACACAAGGGGACGACUUGUGGCAACUGAAUUCCUGAAGCAAUUCGUCUAAGAGCUGCUUGGAUAUGCCACAUCCUACCAUAAUGAGUUCUUGUAUACUCAUGUUUGCAAUAUAGUUACAGUAACAGCUUCAGAAAAAACAAGUUUGCAAUAUAGUUGAACUGUAAAGUCCAGAACAGGUUUUAUCAAUGAAUAGGUUAAGUUUAGUGGGUAUUUUUUUGUCGAUAAUAUACUUUAUGUUGUCUAAACAAGAGUAACAACAAUUGAUGGGUUGGUUUGAGACUUGGUAUUUUCUCUCACUUGGGAUAUGCAAAUUAUAAGAUUUUUAUUUUUUA